AGAGUUUGAUCCUGGCCCAGGACGAACGCUGGCGGCACGCUUAACGCAUGCAAGUCGAACGAGAGAAGAGGAGCUUGCUUUUCUGAUCUAGUGGCGGACGGGUGAGUAACACGUGAGCAAUCUGCCUUUCAGAGGGGGAUACCGAUUGGAAACGAUCGUUAAUACCGCAUAACAUAAUUGAACCGCAUGAUUUGAUUAUCAAAGAUUUAUCGCUGAAAGAUGAGCUCGCGUCUGAUUAGCUAGUUGGUAAGGUAACGGCUUACCAAGGCGACGAUCAGUAGCCGGACUGAGAGGUUGAUCGGCCACAUUGGGACUGAGACACGGCCCAGACUCCUACGGGAGGCAGCAGUGGGGAAUAUUGCACAAUGGAGGAAACUCUGAUGCAGCGAUGCCGCGUGAGGGAAGAAGGUUUUAGGAUUGUAAACCUCUGUCUUCAGGGACGAAAAAAGACGGUACCUGAGGAGGAAGCUCCGGCUAACUACGUGCCAGCAGCCGCGGUAAUACGUAGGGAGCGAGCGUUGUCCGGAAUUACUGGGUGUAAAGGGAGCGUAGGCGGGAUCGCAAGUCAGAUGUGAAAACUAUGGGCUUAACCCAUAAACUGCAUUUGAAACUGUGGUUCUUGAGUGAAGUAGAGGUAAGCGGAAUUCCUAGUGUAGCGGUGAAAUGCGUAGAUAUUAGGAGGAACAUCAGUGGCGAAGGCGGCUUACUGGGCUUUAACUGACGCUGAGGCUCGAAAGCGUGGGGAGCAAACAGGAUUAGAUACCCUGGUAGUCCACGCCGUAAACGAUGAUUACUAGGUGUGGGGGGACUGACCCCUUCCGUGCCGCAGCAAACGCAAUAAGUAAUCCACCUGGGGAGUACGACCGCAAGGUUGAAACUCAAAGGAAUUGACGGGGGCCCGCACAAGCAGUGGAGUAUGUGGAUUAAUUCGAAGCAACGCGAAGAACCUUACCAGGUCUUGACAUCGUAUGCAUAGCUCAGAGAUGAGUGAAAUCUCUUCGGAGACAUAUAGACAGGUGAUGCAUGGUUGUCGUCAGCUCGUGUCGUGAGAUGUUGGGUUAAGUCCCGCAACGAGCGCAACCCUUAUUGACAGUAGCCAGCAGGUAAGGCUGGGCACUCUGUUAAGACUGCCGGGGAUAACUCGGAGGAAGGUGGGGAUGACGUCAAAUCAUCAUGCCCCUUAUGACCUGGGCUUCACACGUGCUACAAUGGCUGUCACAAAGAGAAGCGAAGCUGCGAAGUGGAGCAAAGCUCAAAAAGGCAGUCCCAGUUCGGAUUGCAGGCUGCAACCCGCCUGCAUGAAGCUGGAAUCGCUAGUAAUCGCGAAUCAGCAUGUCGCGGUGAAUACGUUCCCGGGCCUUGUACACACCGCCCGUCACACCAUGGGAGUUUAGAGCACCCGAAGUCAGUGAGGCAACCGCAAGGAGCCAGCUGCCGAAGGUGAGCUAAGUAACUGGGGUGAAGUCGUAACAAGGUA
rnacentral:rRNA from 1 species